AUCUAGGACAGGACGGAGUGGGGGAGCGGAAGGACGUGGCGGUGGAGUGCCCUCCCUCUGGGAAGGCAGUUGGAGCCACAGGAGGACGGCGCUCCUGGAGAAGAACCUUGUUGAGAGAGCAAACGAGCCCGCGUUCCCAAUCCUUCCCGCCCGUCGCCUCUGUCCCCUCCCUGAGUGUCGCCUCCUCCCAGAUUUCGAAGGAGACAGAUUUCCAGCCAGGGGCCCAGCUGCGUGCACCGGUUCGCCCCCAGCCCUGCUUGGGAAAGAUGCCGGCAGGAGGCGGCGAGCUCUCCAGGCAA